GAUGAAGAACGCAGCGAAAUGCGAUAANUAAUGUGAAUUGCAGAAUUCAGUGAAUCAUCGAAUCUUUGAACGCACAUUGCGCCCCCUGGUAUUCCGGGGGGCAUGCCUGUUCGAGCGUCAU
rnacentral:rRNA from 1 species